rnacentral:tRNA from 1 species
GCCCCCUGGGCCGGGCCGGUUCUGCCUUGCCUGCGGUGCGGGGCGGGCCCCCGGGGCCCAGGGCGGUUCUACUUCGCCGCGCGGCGC